rnacentral:rRNA from 1 species
AGGACGAACGCUGGCGGCGUGCUUCACACAUGCAAGUCGAACGGGGCUCAUCCGGUGGUAACACUGGAGAAGGCCUAGUGGCGAACGGGUGAGUAACACGUGAGGAACCUGCCCCGAAGACCGGGAUAACAGCGGGAAACCGCUGCUAAUACCGGAUGCCCCCACCGGGCCGCAUGACCUGGUGAGGAAAUGGGUUUCCGCUUCGGGAGGGUCUCGCGGCCUAUCAGCUUGUUGGUGGGGUAACGGCCCACCAAGGCUACGACGGGUAGCUGGUCUGAGAGGACGACCAGCCACACUGGGACUGAGACACGGCCCAGACUCCUACGGGAGGCAGCAGUGGGGAAUCUUGCGCAAUGGGCGAAAGCCUGACGCAGCAACGCCGCGUGAGGGAUGAAUGCCUUCGGUUGUAAACCUCUUUCAAGCAGGGACGAUAGUGACGGUACCUGCAGAAGAAGCUCCGGCAACUACGCGCCGCAGCCGCGGUAA